rnacentral:rRNA from 1 species
UGAGCAACCUGCCCCUGGCUCUGGGAUAACCCCGGGAAACCGGAGCUAAUACCGGAUACGAGACCGAUUGGCAUCUUUACGGUCUGGAAAGUUUUUCGGCCAGGGAUGGGCUCGCGGCCUAUCAGCUUGUUGGUGGGGUAACGGCUCACCAAGGCGACGAUCCGUAGCUGGUCUGAGAGGACGAUCAGCCACACUGGGACUGAGACACGGCCCAGACCUCCUACGGGAGGCA